ensembl:lncRNA
GGAGCCACGGCGGACAACACGGCAGCUCUUUCCCUUCCCAACCAGUCAGAUACAAGAUUCCAUAGAUUUUCACUUCAAAACUAUAUUGGCUGUUGAAGUUGUACGGCUUUACAAGUGUGACAGGCAGCAACAAUGUCAGCUUUUGAUCCAAACACCGGUGAAUUAUGUGGGAAGGUCCAUCUGUUGUUGUACUUUCAUCAGAAGCACUACGAAGCCCAAAAGUUUUGAUCUUGACUCAAAUUGCAUGAGAUGCUUUAGCCUUGUUGCAUUGAGUUGGUACUCAGAGAAAGGUAAUUUUCUUUAGGUAAAAAGUUUUUUUUU